rnacentral:lncRNA from 1 species
CUGUUAUGUGAAAUAAAUGAAGACCAGCCAACUAAGAAAGGCAAAGGCUAUGUAUUCUGAGCUCAUCUGGAUCAGAGGAGUCAGCACUGUCAUUUGUGUUUGGCAGAGACUGAAAGGCACAAAAAUAGUCAUACAAAAAAUACCACAAAAGGUAAUAACAAAGUGGAAGAAGACAUAGGAACAGAGAACAAACCAACACAUAGAAAAAGUAACAAACAUGGUAGAUACGAAUCCAGCUAUAUCAAUAAUCGCGUUAAACAUCAAUGGUCUUAAAUAUACUAGACAGUGGAAUAUUAUUCAGCAUUGAAAAGAAAUGACCUAUCAAGCCAUGAAAGACAAGGAGGAACCUUAAAUGCAUGUUACUGAGUGAAAGAAGCCAAUCUGAAAAGG